rnacentral:lncRNA from 1 species
UCAAAAUAUGCAACAUUCUCGGCAUUCAUCUCUUUCACACAUUAGCCAUGUUCUCUUCCACUACAAGUGUGAAGUGCAUCGUGUGUGCUAGCAUGCUCUCUAGUGAAACAAAACAAAGACUAUCAAACUUCAACAGAGUCCUCACUAUGAGCCGUUAAUCAGAAUCAGGCUUAAACACUUCUUUACUAAAGAGUCAACUACAAUUUAGGGUCAUUAAAGAAUUCCUAUGCCUCUCCUAUUUUUUUUCUCUUUUUUUUUCUUUUUUUUUUCUUUUUCUUGCUAAGUCUAAGGUUGGGACGCUUCUCAGUGUAAGUGAGUCACGACCGCCAUUCGACUUCGCUUAUUCUUCUUCCUCCUUUUUUUUUCAAUCAAGUAAUUCUCCAGUAAUCAAGGGUUGUGAAAAGUCACCAAGAAUUUGCUUAUUCUAAUACAUUUGCACUUAAUACCAGCACAAGUACAUGGAUCGUCCCUUUCACACGACAUUGCAUUUCACCCUUUGAUCUCAAAGGAGUACCCGAUAAUUUUUAUUCUUUUUAUUCUCUUUUUUUUUUUUUUUUUUUAGAAAGGCAUAUUCAUCCCUUAACUCCCCCAAACUUAAGAUUUACAAACUCUAAGUUCAAAAGGGGAAUAAUCCUAAUUCUACGCCCGACUCAACGUGAAGACUCAAGAAAUAAGUUAGUCUAAGUCUUAUCUCUAGAGCAUAAGUGUAAUUACAAUUUUCACACAAGCAGUUUCCAAGAAACAAGGCAUCACAUAUGAUCAAGAUUACUAGCCAAGAAC